rnacentral:lncRNA from 1 species
UGUGAAUCGCACCCCUGGAACUGUGCAGGGCCCACCUGUGUGGCCACACGCAGUGACCCUGAGCAAAGGAGUGACCACAGAAGUGCAUGGCAAAGCAGAAAGGUGUGACGUCUUGGAGGACGCGGGAGGAAAGCACGCCCAGCGGACAGGAGCCAUCACGCGGCUGCGGGCUGCUGCUGAGAACCUGGCGUGGGCCACCGUCGUCAGCAGCGUGGAGGUAACUGACGACCUUGGCCAAGAAGUUGGGUGGCAGCGUGGAGGUCAUGCUCAGAGGAGCCGAGGAGCAUGGACACCGUCUUCUCCUUCCAGCAGGCACAGGUAUGGAAGGAGACUGAGGCUGGUCUUGGAUGGACACUUGUUAUUGCAGUCAGAGUCCAUCUGGAUAAUCCUGGAUAAAUCUCAUCUGGAGAUCCUUCACCAGAUCACAUCGGCAAUGACCUGUUCCCCAAAUAAGGCCCUGUGCACAGGUUCUGGGGUGCUAGGAGUGAGCCACCAUGCCUGGCCCAGUUUUUAAUGCUUGGACAUCUCCAAAAUCAGGACAUAUCUUGUAAUUGAAGACGUCUCACCAUAGCGGCCAGCCGUGCAACCACUGGGCCUGUCUGUGCCUGAACAACACACUGGCCUGCCUUUGCCUGAACAAGACAGCCUUAGUCUCAAAGCUUGCAGAUGGGUGUGGCCUGGUAGAAAAUUCUCAAGACAACGGCGGAGCACGCUUGCCCCUAGGAGACCAAGUGGCCGGAAUGUUGAGAAUCAGCCUUUCGCAGAAAUCCCCUAAGCGGGAGGCAGCAGGCUGACUCCAUCAGCCCCAGGCAGGCUUCUGGGCCCUGCAGCUAUGGCUCUUCAUCCUUUUACAUGUUCUUCGAGAAUCAGCUGCACCCUGGAUGCUUCUGACAGCUCAGAGGACAUCAGCAUGAGGACAAGCACAGGGCUUGAUGGCUCGGAGGGAAAUGGAGUUGGAAGAUUUGGACUUAAUGUGCACACAUUUUAGAAAUAUCUUAACAAAUUUUAUUUUGCUGAUAUCUUUCUUUUUUGUGUGUGCCAAAGUGAUGGCCAGUACAAAUCCAUGUCUAAUUAAGUCCAGAAGAGCUCCUUCAAUAAGCGUAAGAUGAAAGUUAUGAGUGAUAAGAAAGCGUCAUGUCAGUUUAAUUGGCAGCAUUUUCUCUUUCUUAGUGGUUCAUAAAAUAAGGCAGUGCUUUGCUAUCGACGG